AACAAAAGGUUGAUAAAAGCUCUACAGUGAGCACCCCACCCAAACCUUCCAGCAAGAAGUCUGGCACAGGUGUGUUGUCUCAAAUGAAGAAAAAGUUCAGUGUCUUCAUGAAGCCUCGCGUGAAAUCUUCAAAAACUGAUGCUGCAAACCGUUCACAUUGUGAUAAUCCAUUCAAAAAAAUGUUUUAAAGAUAUCAUUUGGUUUAUUUCAAAGAAUACACCAAAUUGGAAACACAAGGAAAUGACUCAAGACAUGUUGAAAAGAAGAAGCCCCAUAAAGACCCUCUGCUGCAGCUGGUCUCUCUGCAGAGGGCGUCAGGCUCCUGGCUGCUUGAUGCAGAUCUGGCUGCUGUGCUGGGAAAGACCAGAGAGGAGGUGGAAAAGGCAAAGCCUGGGCAGGCCAAACAAGAAGUGUGGACAACAAUUUUGGCUCUGAUCUGGCUUUAUGGCUUUAAGAAAGAUCAAAAGGAGGAGUGGGAGCUUCUGUCUUUGAAGGCUGCAUUAUGGCUCAAUGAUCAAAACGCUUCAUUUGUGCCAGAGUGCGUUGCAGCUGGAAAUGCACUGUUGGCCUGCAGCGUGGAGAUAGAAGCUUUGGGGAUCUGAUGUUUUCCAUGAAGAGGCUUUAACUUCAAUAUCAACAACAGAUACCUUUUUUUUCACUUCACCGCCUUUCCUACCAGUAUG